rnacentral:rRNA from 1 species
CACGUAGGGCGCAAGCGUUGUCCGGAAUUAUUGGGCGUAAAGAGCUCGUAGGCGGUCUGUUGCGUCCGCUGUGAAAACUCGGGGCUUAACCCCGAGCCUGCAGUGGAUACGGGCAGACUAGAGGUAGGUAGGGGAGAAUGGAAUUCCCGGUGUAGCGGUGAAAUGCGUUGAUAUCGGAAGGAACGCCGGUGGCGAAAGCGGCGUGCUGGCCCUCUUCUGACGCUGAGGCGCGAAAGCCAGGGGAGCGAACGGG